UACGUAGGGUGCGAGCGUUGUCCGGAAUUACUGGGCGUAAAGAGCUCGUAGGUGGUUUGUCGCGUUGUUCGUGAAAUCUCACGGCUUAACUGUGAGCGUGCGGGCGAUACGGGCAGACCGGAGUACUGCAGGGGAGACUGGAAUUCCUGGUGUAGCGGUGGAAUGCGCAGAUAUCAGGAGGAACACCGGUGGCGAAGGCGGGUCUCUGGGCAGUAACUGACGCUGAGGAGCGAAAGCGUGGGGAGCGAACAGG
rnacentral:rRNA from 1 species